UUUUUUUUUUUCCAUUAGACUUUUCUUAAUUUGAGAAUUGUCUGCCAUCUGGAGAAACUAGAAAAGAGAGUUUUAUUUUUGAACUCAGUAAGUUCUGGUUCCUUUAUAUUUAACAAUUCUUUUCUUAGUUUAUCUUAUUCUGAUCAGAUUACUUUAACAAAAUGCCAGUGUGGCAUUGUUAAAAUAAACAAAAAUUUAUUUCUCACAGUUCUGGAGGCUAGAAGCCCAAGAUCAGGGUGCCAACAUGGUUGGGUUCUAGUGAAGACUCUCUUCUACAUUGCAAACUGCCAACCUGUCACUGUAUUCUCUCAUGGUGGAAGGGGCUAGUCAGCUCUGUGGGGUUCUUUUACAAAAGCACUACUCCCAUUUAUGAGGGCUCCAGCCUCAUGACCCAGGUAUCUCCCCAAAGGCCCCAAAUGCUAAUAUCAUCAUAUGGGCAUUAAGAUUUAACCUAAGAAUUUUGGAGGACACAAUGAUUCAUACCAUAGCACUCUCUCCUAUCAUAUUUUAUUACAAGCAGCAAGAAACAACCAGAAAACAUCCCUGGAAUACCUUUAUCAUACAAUCCACUGUCAUCAAGCAAACCAUUUCCUACUUUCUACAUUAUCAUAGGUGACAAUGUUGCUAAACUUUCUUCUAUUACAUAUCAAGGAUCUUUUCACUAACUCCAAAUGAUUUUUUUUUUUUUUACUUUCCUUUAAACCUUCACUGACUUCCUCCUCAAGGGCUACCGGGUUUCCACCAAUUUUUUCAAAGCCCUCCGGCUUCUGCCCAUUGUCUAUUCCUAGUUUGGCCUCAACUACUGUUACAUUUUUAGGUUUCUGUUACAUGUCACCACACUUCCAAAUACCAAAAUCUAUUUCAGUUUCUAUAACUGCAUAAUAAAAUACUCUAAAAUUUAGUGGCUUAAAAGAUUAUUAUUUAUUCAAGAAUCUACAAUUUGGGCAGGGCUUUUUGCUCCACUCAAAGGAGAUAUAAAAAACAACAAAGAAUUACAGAUGCUUAUAACCAUUGUUAGCGUGUAUAUAUAUAUAUGAUGGGCACAAAGGAGUUAGUGGUUAAUUCCAUCUGAGAAAUCACAGAAAAAAAUAACCUCUGAUCCAGAGUUGGGUGCUGACAUAAAGGGCAGGAAUAUGAAAUGGGAUCACAUGCAAAAAACUGCAAGUGUAUUGAUAUAUAGAUAAGUCCAUUGAGGAAGAACAGAAAGGAAAGAACUAGUAUGAAGUUGAGACUAAAAAGGAAGGCUAGGAACAGACAAUGUUUCUAUAGGAGUAAACAAGAGGCCUGGGAUCAAAUCAGCUCUAAAGAAGCUACACCAUGGGGAGCUGCUACCGGGAACUAUUGGAAAUUGUGAAGAAAUAAAUUUGCUAAAGAAAGUCCCCUAAGUUAUAAGAAAGAAUGCCAAGAAGUGCUGUCAUAGAGAGAGGCUGUCAAAGACACCACUUUAUUGAUUAAAAAAAAAAAAAACACUACUAGGAAGAGAAGUAGGAAAUGUCCUCAACUGAACAGCUAGAAGGUCAGGCUAGGGUACCCUGUGCAUUCUGUAUCUCUAACUCAAACACCUAACCUUUUCCUUAGAGAGAGAGGUUGUUCCCAAUAUCUACUUAAAAAGCAGAGGUCAUAGUGACUAUGACAAUCUCAAUACAACUUCUCUCCAAAAAAAAUCAACAGAAAUUCAGUAAGGGCUGCAGUUAUUUAUACAAGCUGGAUUAUUUUCUCAAGGUUCUGAUGGAAAGCAUAAACCUGGAAAAGAGAAUGUGGUAUUUCUCUCUCCUUUCCUCCAUCUCUUUCUGUAUCUCUGUGUGCACACAUGAAUCUCUCUUUAACCCAUUAUAUUUCUAUAUAACCACACAUUAAUAGCUUACUUCAAAGAAAUAAUUUAUUACCAGAAGCCAAAAGCACGAACCCUAUACUAAAUCCUGACUGUCUAGUACAUGUUUUCUCCUUAAAAGUGAAAUUUUUAUUUGGCAGUGGCACUUUUUGGAAUAGAAGUGAGAACAACAUUUAACAAAAGAUUAUUACUCUAUAAAAUAAACACUAUCUUAGUGAGCCGCACUCCCUGUGCCUAAAGGAGUCAUGACAGCAACAGAAGAUGCUGUCAGUUCUUAUAGCUCAAGUGGACAAGAAUUACAGUGGGAACUUCAAAUAAAAUCACUGGUGCAACAACUGUAGCCACUCACAUAAGGAUUUCAAGUAGAUAUGCAUAGAGAACAGAAGCAGGAAAAAUUGUCUCAUGUUAAACUGACAAACUAGAGCACUAUUCUCCGUAACCUACACCUCACUUAUACUUAAAAACAAGCUUAUAUAAAACUUAUAUAGAAUCUAAUCAUAUCAAAAAUAUUUUUUAAGAUCUAGAUUCAGGUAGCUCUAACAAAAGUUGGAAGAUCUCUAUAUUUCAACACAGAUAUGACUCUGUGUUUUUCUGAUUUCUGCUCCUGUAACCAACAGCCUGUAUUGUUGUACUUAUGCUUUAAAAAAAAAAAAAAAAAAAGCCCUCAACAAAGUAGGGAUAGAGGAAACAUAGCUCAACAUUAUAAAGGCUGUAUACAAAAGACCCACAGCUAAUAUCACCCUCAAUGGGGGUAAACUGUGAGCUUUUUCCUCUAUGCUCAGGAACGAGACAGGGAUGUCCACUCUCACCAUUGUUAUUUAACACAGUACUGGAACUGGGAGUCCUAACCUCAGCAAUCAGACAAUAAAAAGAAAUUUUAAAAAGGCAUCCAAUUCAGCAAGGAAGAAGUCAAACUUUCACUAUUCACAGAUGACACGAUACUCUAUGCAGAAAAUCUGGAAGACUCCACAAAAAAGUUGCUAGAACUGAUACAUGAAUUAGCAGUCGAAGGAUACAAAAAUCAAUGUGCAGAAAGUGGUUGCAUUUCUAUACACCAAUAAUGAAGCAGCAGGAAAAGAAAUCAAGGAAUUGAUCCCAUUUACAACUGCAUCGAAAACAAUAAGAUACCCAGAAAUAAACCUAAAUAAAGAGGUAAAAAAUCUGUACUCUGAAAACUAUAGAACACAUAAAAGAAAUUGAAGGGACUCCUGAGUGGCUCAGUGGUUGAGCAUCUGCCUUCUGCACAGGGCGUGAUCCUGGGGUCCUGGGAUGGAGUCCCACAUCGGGCUCCCUGCAUGGAGCCUGCUUCU
rnacentral:lncRNA from 1 species